rnacentral:misc_RNA from 1 species
AGCAGCCGCGGUAAUUCCAGCUCCAAUAGCGUAUAUUAAAGUUGUUGCAGUUAAAAAGCUCGUAGUUGAAUUUCGGGGUUAGCAGGUCGGUCGUGCCAUCGGUAUGAACUGGUCUCGCUGACCCCUCCCUCUUGACGAACUGUGAUGCCAUUAAUUUGGUGUCGCAGGGAAUCAGGACUGUUACUUUGAAAAAAUUAGAGUGUUUAAAGCAGGCUCACGCUUGAAUACAUUAGCAUGGAAUAAUGAAAUAGGACGUUUGAUCCUAUUUUGUUGGCUUCUAGGAUUGACGUAAUGAUUAAUAGGGAUAGUUGGGGGCAUUAGUAUUCAAUUGUCAGAGGUGAAAUUCUUGGAUUUAUUGAAGACUAACUACUGCGAAAGCAUUUGCCAAGGAUGUUUUCAUUAAUCAAGAACGAAAGUUAGGGGAUCGAAGACGAUCAGAUACCGUCGUAGUCUUAACCAUAAACUAUGCCGACUAGGGAUCGGAUGAUGUUAAUUUUUUAAUGACUCAUUCGGCGCCUUA